GGUGUAAACAGAAACUUUUACAUCGCAAGGGCUCCAAAAAUAGUGUAAGUUUAGGGGAACUAUAUUGGAAACUCACUAAAGAUAAAAAGAAUGAACACGACAAAUAAGAUCUCUGCCUCCAUGGUCAUAGAUUAGCAGUACCAUAGUCAUAGAAUCGCCAACGGUAAGCAGCAUCACUGGAUGACAAAGUACUGGCCAAUGAGAUAUAAGUGAACAUAUCCAUAAAGCAGCUCCCAAGGACCUCCUUA
rnacentral:lncRNA from 1 species